CUGGUAACACUUCCAUGCACCAUUGCUACAGUUCUUACCAGAGAAGUUCUUUGAACAUGUGGAGCACCGGAAACCACGAGGAGGAGGCUCAGCAUUCACUCCUGAGCAUGAAGCCGGCUCUUGGUGAUGCUUCUCUGCAGUUGCCUUUUACCACCGACCAUCACUCUUCUCUUCCUAUGGGAGAGUGAAAGGGAAAGGAUGCCACAUGAAGGGU
rnacentral:snoRNA from 1 species